CACCGACGGAACCUUUCCUCUCAACCCGAAAUUGCGGCAGCCACAACCUCAGCUCCAAAUCACUUUCUCAGCAACUACAACGACUCAGACUUAAGGGAAACAAGUAGCGGCAGCACCGGUGGUGGUUCCGGCAACAACAGCACCAUACCCAUUGACCAGAAACCCCGACAGCGGCGGCGGCAGAAGAACGGCGACCUCAAUGUGAC
rnacentral:lncRNA from 1 species